GGACUGAGACACGGCCCAUACUCCUACGGGAGGCAGCAGCAGGGAAUAUUGCACAAUGGACGGAAGUCUGAUGCAGCGACGCCGCGUGGAUGAUGAAGGCCCUCGGGUUGUAAAAUCCUUUUCAGGGGGACGAGGAAGGACGGUACCCUUGGAAUAAGCGUCGGCUAACUACGUGCCAGCAGCCGCGGUAAGACGUAGGACGCGAGCGUUAUCCGGAUUUACUGGGCGUAAAGCGUCUGUAGGCGGAACAGUAAGUUGGGCGUGAAAGCUCCGGGCUCAACCCGGAGAGGUCGCUCAAUACUGCUGAACUAGAGGUCAUCAGAGGGGCGUGGAAUUUCCGGUGUAGCGGUAAAAUGCGCAGAUAUCGGAAGGAACACCAGUGGCGAAGGCGGCGCCCUGGGGUGGACCUGACGCUAAGAGACGAAAGCUAGGGGAGCGAACAGGAUUAGAGACCCUGGUAGUCCUAGCCGUAAACGAUGGAUGCUAGGUGUGGGACCGACAGGUUCCGUGCCGGAGCAAACGCGCUAAGCAUCCCGCCUGGGGACUACGGCCGCAAGGCUAAAACUCAAACGAAUUGACGGGGCCCCGCACAAGCAGCGGAGCGUGUGGUUUAAUUCGAUGCUACACGAAGAACCUUACCUGGGUUUGACAUGUACGUGGUAGGGAAGCGAAAGCGGACCGACCCUUCGGGGAGCGUACACAGGUGCUGCAUGGCUGUCGUCAGCUCGUGCCGUGAGGUGUCGGGUUAAGUCCCGUAACGAGCGCAACCCUUGCCCUUAGUUACAAGUGUCUAAGGGGACUGCCGGCGGUAAGCCGGAGGAAGGUGGGGAUGACGUCAAGUCAGCAUGGCCCCUUAUGUCCAGGGCUACACACACGCUACAAUGGUCAGUACAAAGGGCAGCGAAACCGCGAGGUGAAGCGAAUCCCAACAAAGCUGACCGUAGUUCGAACUGCAGGCUGCAACUCGCCUGCAUGAAGCUGGAGUUGCUAGUAACCGCGCGUCAGCUAUAGUGCGGUGAAUACGUUCCCGGGGCUUGUACACACCGCCCGUCACGUCAUGGGAGUCGGUAACGCCUGAAGCUGGUAGCCUAGCUCGCAAGAGGGGGCGCUAUCUAAGGCGGGGCUGGCAACUGGGACGAAGUCGUAACAAGGUAGCGGUACCGGAAGGUGCGGCUGG
rnacentral:rRNA from 1 species